rnacentral:rRNA from 1 species
UCCUGAUAUCCUACUACGUUGAAAGCACUGCAUGCCGUCAGAUCUGCGAAGUUAGCAACGUUAGGGCGGGUUACUACUAUGGUUGGAGACAACAUGGGAACACUCGGUGUCCUAGGCU